GGAUCCGUAGCUCAGUUGGCCAGAGCGUUCGGUUUACAUCCGAAAGGUCGAAGGUUCAAGUCCUUCCGGAUCCA
rnacentral:tRNA from 1 species